GUCAGCAAACUCCUGUAAGUGAAGUUCGUCAAGCUGGCAGAAUUUUAGAGGCAUCUCAUUUAAAUUAGAUCUGGCCUUUGUGAUGAUUUAGUGCAAACCAAACGUAAGUAAGUUUCAUCUCAAUAAGCAUCUGUGUGUUUACCCAAAUUAUCUUGUUCCUCCAGAUUUUUUUUUUUUUGAAAUGGAGUCUCACUGUGUCGCCAGGCUGGAGUGCAAUGGCGCUAUCUCGGCUCGCUGGAACCUCUGCCUCCCUUGUUCAAGUGAUUCUCCUGCCUCAGCCUCCCACGUAGCUGGGACUACAGGCAUGCGCCACCAUGCCCAGCUAAUUUUUGUAUUUUUAGUAGAGACGGGGUUUCACCAUGUUGGCCAGGAUGGUCUUGAUCUCUUAAUCUCGUGAUCCGCCCGCCUCGGCCUCCCAAAGUACUGGGAUUACAGGCAUGAACCAACACGCCCGGCCUUGUUCCUCCAGAAUUUUAUCAAAACAACUAGCUACCAAGGCUCAAAAUGAUUCUUUUUCUCAUAAAAUAUUUGUGGUAAUGAGAAUGGACUUCAAAUCAAGACAAUAAUGCAUUUCUAGCUUUGAGAAGUAGGUACUACUUUCCCCUGAUAGUUGGUGAAACUGAAGCAUUGUGAGACUUGAUCGGCCCAAAGUGACACAGGGGGAGCCCAAAUAUGAAGCAAGAGAUUCCUGUUCUCAUCACUUGACACAUUUCAUCUUUAU
rnacentral:lncRNA from 1 species